UACGUAGGUGGCAAGCGUUGUCCGGAUUUACUGGGCGUAAAGGAUGCGUAGGCGGACAUUUAAGUCAGAUGUGAAAUACCCGAGCUUAACUUGGGUGCUGCAUUUGAAACUGGGUGUCUAGAGUCCGGAAGAGGAGAGUGGAAUUCCUGGUGUAGCGGUGAAAUGCGCAGAUAUCAGGAAGAACACCCGUGGCUAAGGCGGCUCUCUAGUACGGUACUGACGCUGAGACGCGAAAAGCGUGGGGAGCGAACAGG
rnacentral:rRNA from 1 species